rnacentral:SRP_RNA from 1 species
GGGUAAGGCUGUACGACCAGAUCCUCCUGAACUCCGCCAGGUCCGAAAGGAAGCAACGGCAGGGAGUCGAUCGGUGCGAUACAGUUCUUGCCCCUU